rnacentral:rRNA from 1 species
GACGAACCGUGCAAACGUUGUUCGGAAUCACUGGGCGUAAAGCGCGUGUAGGCGGAUGACUAAGUUUGCUGUGAAAGCGCCUGGCUUAACCGGGCGAGGUCGGCGAAAACUAGUCGUCUGGAGGCCGGUAGAGGGGGGUGGAAUUCCGGGUGUAGUGGUGAAAUGCGUAGAGAUCCGGAGGAACACCCGUGGCGCAGGCGGCCCCCUGGGCCGCGCCUGACGCUGAGACGCGAAAGCGUGGGGAGCAAACAGG